UAGCGCAUGGGGUUGCAAAAAGUCGCAUACGACUUAGCAACUGAACAACAAAUCCUCUAAAAGAUAAAUCCUUUAAGGUAGCUAGCUCAUCACAAAGGCUUACAAAUAAUUGAAUGUCUUAGUCAAAUUUCUUUGCUGCUUUGUAUUACCAGUCAUUGGAUAUCCAAUUUUAGACAUGGACUUAUUUGGGAUCCUACUGAGUUUAUUUGGUCAGUUAGAAAGGCAUGGGGGCAGGUGCAAUGUCAGGAUUUCCGGCAAAGAUGGCAAGAUACCCUUUUUUUGCAGUGAAAGUGGCAUAGAAGUUGGCAUCUCUGGCUGGUCCCCAGGCUUGUGAGCUCUGAGCCUAAGCCCUGAGAAGACUCCAGUAUUGCAUAGAUGUGUUUACAGAAACAGAUAGAGCCAUCCAUCAAUUUUCACUUGACAAGUAUUUAUCUUAAAAUAAGGGUGCUCCUCAAUGCCAGAUUGUUGCUAUUAAGCCACAGCUAUGGAGGUAGAUGUGGAAAUGCUUAUUCUUGGGAUAACAGCAUAGAUUUUUUAAAAAAAAUCAGUCUGUCCAUAGCUCUUUAUAGCUGCUGACAUGGCUCCUGAAUAGUAGUUUUCAAAUUUCUCGCCCAGAGCCCUAAGAUGCCAGGAGACUGGGGUUGAGAGAAGGAAUUGUGGAGCGUGAUGGGUGAGUUCUCUGCCCCUGCUUCCACAGAAUACGGUCAUCUCUCUGUGAUUUCUGCAGCCACCAGCACAUUUGCUUCUGUGCCAUCUGUCACUUAUGGUUAUGUUUUCAUCAGAGGAUGGUCUGAAAUGCUGGCUUGUGUCCCUUAUAAUGAUAAUGCAGAAGUCAGUACUUUCUGGGCACAGUAUCCUCCUGCCAGCACAGCCAAAACCUGAUAGUGUCGUGCCACCUUCAAGAAGGUUUUGGACAGUCUCUUGACAGUUUUCUGUAGUUGAGCGGUACCAAGCCAUUCCUUCCAUGCAUGUUUAUGGGACACCUGUGUUGGACUAGGGCUUACACUAGCUGUGGAAGACACCAGAUGAAAAAUAAAGAGCCUGCAGGUUAGUGGAGACAGAGCAGCAAAGCAGUGCUNNNNNNNNNNNNNNNNNNNNNNNNNNNNNNNNNNNNNNNNNNNNNNNNNNNNNNNNNNNNNNNNNNNNNNNNNNNNNNNNNNNNNNNNNNNNNNNNNNNAAAUAAAGAGCCUGCAGGUUAGUGGAGACAGAGUAGCAAAGCAGUGCUUCUGAUGCAGUAUGACAGCUCUUGGUUUUUACCUGAAAGUUGUUAGCAUUCUGGAUGAUGAUUGAGAAGACCGGGGUCACUGGCUCUUUUAGGACUCAGGUCCUCAAAGUGUGGCCAGCAUGCUUGGACUAACCCACCUAUGGCUGCCCGGAACACCAUCCAACUUCAGCCAGUGAAAGCGCAAUACUUUUGUAGUCAGAAUCCAGGCAGAGGGAGAUUUUGUGAAGAUUGAUGCUGUGUUCCACUAAAGCAAGCAACAGUCACACAACACAGCCCUCGUACAAUGGAGAAGCCCAAGAAGAACAGGGGGCUCUCAGGGACGUGUUCCCCCAAGGGUGCACCAAGGCAUCCAUCCACACAGCCAGCACACAAGAGUUACACAGAUCCCUGCUGUGUUUGAUUGAUAUUUGAUCCUCUGUAGUUGGAAUUUCCAUCAACUUGUUGAGACUGAAGAUGGGUUUGUGGUUGGUAGACCGUGCUUUUGUAUGUACUGUUUGUCUGAUUCAUCCUGAAUUUAAAAAUCCAUCUCCCACUUAAACCUGUUGCCUAGAAUUCUCAAUCAUGAAAGCCUCUUCUCUUUUUUAUUCUCUCCCUCUUUGUAUUCAUUUCAGCUUAAUAAAAUCUAAUGGCCCUAUGAUUCCAGGAACAGUUGGUUUCUGGCUAAAAGUGAAAUAGAAAACUGCCUGUUUUAGUUACAUAAGGUGAUGUAGCAAAUACUAGUUUCUGAGGAAACAAUCUAUUUCCAGCGGGGCAGCCCGAGCGCCCUGGAGCGGGAGCGCCAUCUGCAGGGCUGAGGGAGGAAAACACCCAGUGAGAACCAUCCGAACCUUGCUUUGCAGGAAAGACAGGAAAAUUAAGAGAAGAGGUAGUUCCACAAGAUAAAUAGCGAAAAAAAACUCGGCAGGA
rnacentral:lncRNA from 1 species